rnacentral:rRNA from 1 species
CCUACGGGUGGCAGCAGUGGGGAAUAUUGGACAAUGGGGGCAACCCUGAUCCAGCCAUGCCGCGUGUGUGAAGAAGGCCCUCGGGUUGUAAAGCACUUUCAGUGAGGAAGAACGCCUGGUGGUUAAUACCCAUCAGGAAAGACAUCACUCACAGAAGAAGCACCGGCUAACUCCGUGCCAGCAGCCGCGGCAAUACGGAGGGUGCGAGCGUUAAUCGGAAUUACUGGGCGUAAAGCGCGCGUAGGUGGCUUGAUAAGCCGGUUGUGAAAGCCCCGGGCUCAACCUGGGAACGGCAUCCGGAACUGUCAAGCUAGAGUGCAGGAGAGGAAGGUAGAAUUCCCGGUGUAGCGGUGAAAUGCGUAGAGAUCGGGAGGAAUACCAGUGGCGAAGGCGGCCUUCUGGACUGACACUGACACUGAGGUGCGAAAGCGUGGGUAGCAAACAGGAUUAGAUACCCGUGUAGUC